GAGGAAAAGAAAAUAACAAUGAUUUCCCUAGUAACGGCGAGUGAAGAGGAAAGAGCUCAAAGUUGGAACCUGUUUGGCCUAGCUAAACCGGAUUGUAGACUGUAGAAGUGUUUUCCAGGCAAGCCGAGUAAAUAAGUCCUUUGGAACAGGGCAUCAUAGAGGGUGAGAAUCCCGUCUUUGGCUUGAGCAUUUGCCUUUUGUGAUACGCUUUCAAAGAGUCAGGUUGUUUGGGAAUGCAGCCUAAAUUGGGUGGUAAAUCUCACCUAAAGCUAAAUAUUGGCGAGAAACCGAUAGCGAACAAGUACCGUGAGGGAAAGAUGAAAAGAACUUUGAAAAGAGAGUUAAACAGUAUGUGAAAUUGUUAAAAGGGAACCGUUUGGAGCCAGACUGGCUUGUCUGUAAUCAAUCUAGGCUUCGGCCUGGAUGCACUUGCAGGCUAUGCCUGCCAACGACAAUUUGACUUGAGGGAAAAAACUAGGGGAAAUGUGGCCCACUUGUGGGUGUUAUAGUCCCUUAGAAAAUACCUUGGGUUGGAUUGAGGAACGCAGCGAAUGCUUAUUGGCGAGUUUUCCAGGAAGGUUUUCUGAGGUACUACGGUAUCAAGGUUGAUCUUUUUGGUUAUACUUCUAUUCGCUUAGGUUGUUGGCUUAAUGACUCUUAAUGACCCGUCU
rnacentral:rRNA from 1 species